ensembl:snRNA U6 U6 spliceosomal RNA
UCACUUCAGCAGCAAAUAUACUAAAAUUGAAACAAUACAGAGAAGAUUAGUAUGGCCCUUGAAUUAAGGAUGGUAUGCAAAUUUGUGAAGUGUUCCAUAUUUUU